rnacentral:rRNA from 1 species
AUACGUAGGUGACAAGCGUUAUCCGGAUUUACUGGGCGUAAGGGCGUGUAGGCGGUCUUGCAAGUCAGAAGUGAAAUUCCUGAGCUCAACUCGGGCGCUGCUUCUGAAACUGCAGGACUUGAGUGCUGGAGGGGAUAGCGGAAUUCCUAGUGGAGCGGUAAAAUGCGCAGAUAUUAGGAAGAACACCGGUGGCGAAGGCGGCUAUCUGGACAGUAACUGACGCUGAGGCGCGAAAGCGUGUGCAGCAAACUGGAUGAGAUACCCUGGUAGCCCACGCCGUAAACGAUGAAUUCUAGGUGUAGGGGGUAUCCACUCCCUCUGUGCCUCAUGUAACACAAUAAGUAUUCCGCCUGGGGAGUACGGCCUCAAGGUUGAAACUUAAAGGAAUUGACGGGG